GACGAACGCUGGCGGCGUGCCUAAUACAUGCAAGUAGGACGCAGUUGCGAACGGGAGAGUAACGCGUAGGUAACUACCUAUUAGAGGGGGAUAACUAUUGGAAACGAUAGCUAAUACCGCAUACUAGUAGAUGUACCUGCGUUGUAUUAGCUAGUAGGUAGGGUAAUGGCCUACCUAGGAAACGAUACAUAGCCGACCGGAGAGGGUUGUAGGCCAAGCUGUGACUGAGACACGGCGCAGAAUCCUACGGAAGGCAGCAGUAGGGAGUAGUCGGCAAUGGGGGGAACCCUGACCGAGCAACGCCGCGUGAGUGAAGAGGGUUUUCGGAUCGUAAAGCGCUGUUGUUAAGGAAGCGGUACUUAACCAGAAAGGGACGGCUAACUACGUGCCAGCAGCCGCGGUAAUAC
rnacentral:rRNA from 1 species